CGCCCCACCGCCCCGCGGCCACCCGGCCACCGCCACCGCCUCCUCCUCAUCAUCAUCAUCCUCCUCCUCGGGGCGGCGCGGGGACGCCGCGGCCUCCACCUUCUCCUCGGGGUGAGACGUGGCCUCCACCUUCUCCUCGGGGUGAGACAUGGCCUCCACCUUCUCCUCACGGUGAGACGUGGCCUCCACCUUCUCCUCAAGGUGAGACGUGGCCUCCUCCUCCUCACGGUGAGACGUGGCCUCCACCUUCUCCUCAAGGUGAGACGUGGCCUCCGCCUUCUCCUCGAGGUGAGAUGUGGCCUCCACCUUCUCCUCAGGGUGAGAUGUGGCCUCCACCUUCUCCUCGAGGUGAGAUGUGGCCUCCUCCUUCUCCUCAGGGUGAGACGUGGCCUCCACCUUCUCCUCAGGGUGACAUGGGGACACCAUGGCCUCUACCUUCUCCUCAAGGUGAGACGUGGCCUCCUCCUUCUCCUCAGGGUGACAUGGGGAUGCUGGGGCCUCCACCUUCUCCUCACGGUGAGACGUGGCCUCCUCCUUCUCCUCGAGGUGAGACGUGGCCUCUUUCUCCUCCUUGGGGUGACAUGCAGUCGCCUCCUCCUCAGGGUGACAUGGGGAUGCUGGGGCCUCCACCUUCUCCUCACGGUGAGACGUGGCCUCCUCCUUCUCCUCGAGGUGAGACGUGGCCUCUUUCUCCUCCUUGGGGUGACAUGCAGUCGCCUCCUCCUCCUCUUCCUCCUUGGGGUGACGUGGGGACACCGUGGCCUCCACCUUCUCCUCAGAGUGACACGGGGACAUCGUGGCCUCCACCUUCUCCUCAAGAUGAGACGUGACCUCCUCCUCCUCCUCCUUGGGGUGACGUGGGGACACCGUGGCCUCCACCUUCUCCUCAGAGUGACACGGGGACAUCGUGGCCUCCACCUUCUCCUCAAGAUGAGACGUGACCUCCUCCUCCUCCUCCUUGGGGUGACGUGGGGACGCCGUGGCCUCCACCUUCUCCUCGAGGUGAGAUGUGGUCUCCUUCUCCUCCUCCUUGGGGUGACGUGGGGACACCGUGGCCUCCACCUUCUCCUCAAGAUGAGAUGUGGCCUCUUUCUCCUCCUUGGGGUGAUGUGCGGCCUCCUCCUCCUCCUCCUCUUCCUCCUUGGGGUGACACGGGGCCUCCUCCUCCUCCUCAGGGUGACACGGAGACACGGUGGCCUCCUCCUUGGAGUGACGCGGGGACGCCACGGCCUCCACCUUCUCCUCGGGGUGACACGGGGACCUCAUGGCCUCCUUCUCCUCCAGGUGAGAUGUGACCUCCUCCUCCUCCUCGGGGUGACACGGGGACGCCGUGGCCACCGUCACCUCCUCGGGGCGACGCGGGGACACCACGGCCUCGGCCUCCUCCUCUUCUUCCUCCUCCUCCUCCUCCUCCUCCUCGUCGCCGCCCGGGUGACGCCCUGGGGACUCCAUGGCCGCCUGCGGGGGGGCGGGAAGGGGCCACGUGGCUCCUCAGGCCCCGCCCACACACCCCAGAAGGGGCGGGGCAUGGAUAACACAUACCCCCCCCCACCCCCGCAGCACUGGGGGCCUGGCCUCUAGGCCCCGCCCCCUCCAAAUAAGCCACGCCCCCUCAUAGAGCAUCACCCAACCACGCCCCAGCUGUUCUCUAAGCCCCGCCCCCCGGGUAGAAGCCACACCCACCGGCUCCAUAGCCCCGCCCCAUGGAGGCAGGUGUCACCGGGAGG
rnacentral:lncRNA from 1 species